CUCCAGAGGACACAAUGUUCACCCCUCGGUCAGAGAUGCACAAGAAAAACUGCUAUGUCAUGCAUUAAAAAAAACUGGGGUUCUCCACACUCUGUUUAGUAUUACAAGAGCUCUGUUAUGAAACCUAGUGAGCCGUGUUGCUGUCUACUACUGCAUACACUGACAUUAAGGCAGCAUGCUAAUGAAAUGAUUUGAAACACUCUACACUAGAAAAAUGGAGAUGAGCUCAGAUUGGUCUUGAUUUCUUUACUUUCAGUUGAUGUAAUUGUCUAAAAUGUGCAGUCUACUCGAUUAUCUGAAGAACUGAGUAUUCGAUUGCCUGAGGAUGAUUAUCAUGUGUCGCCAAGCUUGACGGUCUCUUGAACGUUUGGGUCGUGGACUCAUCAUUCACGGGUUCACAUGUAGUCCGAAGCCUGCCGCCUCCUGCUGUGAGGUUCUGAAGACGAGACGUCCUGUUUGUUUUUCCACAUCAAGAGAGCUCUUCAGUCGGAAGUCACUCAGAGAACCAGAGGAACUUCCAUGUAAACAUUCAAGUUGUGACCACCAUCAAAUGCAGAGAAGAAGGUCUUCCACUUUCUCACGCUGUAACACAUCAGUAUUCAUCAGGGCUUUAGAAAGCGGGAUGUGUGCCUCUAUAAUUCUGCUCUUGAAGUGAUUCAAUCGACAGUAUGCCAAAUAUGGACAGUAGAAAUGCAGCCUUUUAUGUGUUGUUUUAUGGCAGAUCUGGGGCCCUCGGGUCCACAGAUGAACCGUAGGCUGUGAUCUGUUGUCCUAACAGUGCCAGCGUUUGGCAGGGCUUCAGCUCGCCCUCUUGUCUGCCAUCUAAUUCUACACUUGCCAAACUCUGCAGCCCCCAUCUGCCCUUUACAACAUGACCUCAUCGGCACGGCACAUCCCUCACGUGUUUGAGAGGGACACGGAGUCUAUAAUCAUCGUCUUACAGCACGCUCCAAAAAUGCAUUGUAAAACCUGAUAUUACUUGGAUGGCUCACAAAAUCAAUUGCUUUGAUUAGUUUAGUGCUCGAGAGAGACUGCCAACAUGUUCUGGAUUCUCUGCCACAAUCCCAGGACACUCACAAGAGGGUGCAACAUCUAAUUCAACAUCAUUUAAUCUAUUAAAAGGUGAUUUCUGCACCACAAGCUUCACCAAAUGGCAUCACAGUAUUGCUAAUAUAAUGAUUGUUUCCAAACAAGUUUUCCAAACAUAAAUCAUGAAGCGUAGUGUGUUGAAAUGAGCACUUAUUAGAGAAAAUCAGUGUUAUUUUAGUAUAAUUUCAUAUGUAUUAUAGUAUUUAUUAAUAUUUGGAGUUCAGUUCGUUUUAAUUUUAUAAAUUCAGUUUUCAUUUUAGUUUACGUUUUGGUAAUUUUACUAUGUACUUUUCAUUUUUUAUUUAAAAAAAUAUUUUUAAGUUUUUGUUUUAAUAAUUAUUGUAGUAAUUCAACUUAAACUUAUUUCAGUUAGUUGCCAUAACAACAUUUCUAACAUUUCCUUUAAGUUUUUUUUCUUCAGUUUUUUAUGUAAUUUUUAUAUUUUUAAUUUAUUAUUAUUGGUUUGAUUUCAUUUUUGAUUUUAUUCAUUAUUAUUUUUAUUAUUUUUAUUCAAUAAAAUUAUUAUUAUUAUUAAUACA
ensembl:lncRNA